rnacentral:rRNA from 1 species
CCUACGGGUGGCAGCAGUGGGGGAUAUUGCACAAUGGGGGAAACCCUGAUGCAGCGACGCCGCGUGGGUGAAGAAGUAUUUCGGUAUGUAAAGCCCUAUCAGCAGGGAAGAAAGAAGACGGUACCUGACUAAGAAGCCCCGGCUAACUACGGGCCAGCAGCCGCGGUAAUACGUAGGGGGCGAGCGUUAUCCGGAUUCACUGGGUGUAAAGGGAGCGUAGACGGCCGUGCAAGCCAGGAGUGAAAGCCCGGGGCCCAACCCCGGGACUGCUCUUGGAACUGUGCGGCUGGAGUGCGGGAGGGGCAGGCGGAAUUCCUGGUGUAGCGGUGAAAUGCGUAGAUAUCAGGAGGAACACCGGCGGCGAAGGCGGCCUGCUGGACCGCGACUGACGUUGAGGCUCGAAAGCGUGGGGAGCGAACAGGAUUAGAUACCCGGGUAGUC